GGUCGACUGGUGUAGUGGUUAUCACACCCGCCUUACACUAAUACUAAGCAGCAACGCAUUAGCGCCGUUUGCGAUGGUAUAUAUGUGAGCGCGGUAGGUCGCAGGUUCGAUCCCUGCGUCGAUCA